AGCUGAGGUGAUCGGAAGUACACAGCAUGACUUUGUGUUCUGAAAUUCUUAAAGUUGCUUCUGUUCCACCUGCAUAAAAGCGUGCAACUGACUCUCUUUAAAGACGCUCAUAUGGAUCCUGCUACUGUCUGAUGCUGCAGAUGAAGAGAAUUGAAGUGUGGAGUCGGCUUCAGUGACCAAAGCAGCCUUCAACGUACACAUGAAACACAAUUAAAUUCCUUUUGACAGUUAAUAAAGACACUUGAUUGGACAA